GUAGAAUUUCAAACAAUAACACUGGAACACCUGGUUAACACGUUAGAUGAUAUGUACAGUUGUAAAUUGUGGUUUUAAUAGUUGCUCACUGGGGGACUUAAAAGGGUCUCAUUGUUCUGUUUGGCAGAUAUUAAAAAAAAAAUCAGGGACUACUUGGGAUUUAAAAGCCACGCACGUGAUUCCAAUGCCACUCAGCUCAUGAAAUUUAAUCACUGGACCCCACUGGUGGCAGUUUCUACAGGGGAGACCCAUGGCCACAUGGUGGGGUUUUCAAGUUCUCCAAAGUCAUCGUCCAGCUUCAAGUCUAAAGAAAUCCAUUCAUUUCUUAUUGCUAAGAAAACAGGGAAGAUUUUUACAUCUAAACACGAAGGUCCUGUGUGCUGGGCCUCAUCACCCGGAGAGAGAGGCUGCGCCCGGCUUCCCAGUCCCUGGCAUCCUGCAGGCUGCAGGCAGUGAGGUUCAGGAACAGGUUCUGACUUCCUGGCAUUUCUUCUGGAAACUUCUUGGGACCCUCCUGUGUCUCCUAAAGAAAGGCUUGAGUCAAAGGGCAAGACUGCCCUACUAGGCAGGGGACAUUCAGAUGCCAGCGCCUCCCUGACUAUGAAGGGACUGACAGAGAGGCUACUGAGUCUUCCUCAUGACAGCCAAUUGUCAGUUUUAUCCCCCAACUCCCAGCCCCAGGCCUCACAACUAGUGGGUCUGCAUUCCUCACACACAGUGGGUCUGCAUUCCUCACACACAGUGGGUCCAGUUCCUCCCACACAGUAGGUGCCUGUUGCCUGGCAAGCACCAGUGCCCAGUGGUUGCUGAAUGACUCUGUCGGAGCGCUCUGCCUUGCUCCCUGUCGGGGCCUGCGUCUGUCAUGUCUUUUCCAGUUGAGCUUGCAGGGAAGGUCAGCAGAUCCUCUCACAUCCCGCUGAGACAAGAAGUUCGGCGUGCAGGAGCAAGGCAGUCAGACUAGAAGGGCAGCUCGUUCUGUGAGAGGUAUUGUCGGGGUGAAGCUGCUCACAAAAGCCCUAAUAGUUGCUGGACUGACCGCCAAAAUUGAUGUGACUUCCAUCAUCACAGCAGGGAAGGCCCCUGCACACCUGUGUGGCCUCCGUUUGCAAUUCCUAGUUCCCAAAAACUACAUCUCCACUGCCCAGCGUCCUCUUCCUGGCUGCCAUGUGGAGGGAGAUGUGGAAGCUCACCGAGGUCUGGGACCUGCCCGUGCCAAGCCAAAGCCCACCGUCCUGGGCCAUUUUCACCUCUACAGAAUUUCAAACAUUAAAAAAUAUGUAUUGUGUGGUUUAGAUGUUUAAAUUCUUACUGUUCGUUCUGUGUCUUAGAUUUUGCUAUGAGGAACUGAAGUUUUAAUGGUGAUGUCAGAUGGAGAAUAUGUCUCCUUUUGCUUAAAGGUUUCACUCUUACAACCAUGGAAGAUUCUAUGCUCAGCUUCCGGCGAGACUAACAGUGACAGAGGAAUCACAAAUACAGCUCAGAAUGGUUUGUGCCGUGUUGUUUUCAUUCCUACCUUAUUUCUGUUGC
rnacentral:lncRNA from 1 species